rnacentral:tRNA from 1 species
AAAAAGAUAAGCUAAUUAAGCUAAUGGGUUCAUACCCCACUCAUAAAGGUACAAUCCUUUUCUUUUUA